GUUAGGCUGGAGGACGAGAAAGGGUUAGGGGUUAAGGGUUAAGGUUAGGGAUAAGGGAUAAUGUUAGGCUGGAGGACGAGAAAGGGUUAGGGGUUAAGGUUAGGCUGGAGGACGAGAGAGGAUAAGGGGU
rnacentral:lncRNA from 13 species